AACGAACGCUGGCGGCAUGCCUAACACAUGCAAGUCGAACGAGACCUUCGGGUCUAGUGGCGCACGGGUGCGUAACGCGUGGGAAUCUGCCCUUUGCUUCGGAAUAACAGUUAGAAAUGACUGCUAAUACCGGAUGAUGUCUUCGGACCAAAGAUUUAUCGGCAAAGGAUGAGCCCGCGUAGGAUUAGGGUAGUUGGUGGGGUAAAAGGCCUACCAAGCCGAGAUCCUUAGCUGGUCUGAGAGGAUGAUNAGCACACUGGGACUGAGACGCGGCCCAGACUCCUACGGAGGCAGCAGUGGGGAAUUUUGGACAAUGGCGCAAGCCU
rnacentral:rRNA from 1 species